UUAGAUUAAGUUAUUAAGGGCGCACGGUGGAUGCCUUGGCACUAGAAGCCGAUGAAGGACGUUACUAACGACGAUAUGCUUUGGGGAGCUGUAAGUAAGCUUUGAUCCAGAGAUUUCCGAAUGGGGAAACCCAACAUGAGUUAUGUCAUGUUAUCGAUAUGUGAAUACAUAGCAUAUCAGAAGGCACACCCGGAGAACUGAAACAUCUUAGUACCCGGAGGAAGAGAAAGAAAAUUCGAUUCCCUUAGUAGCGGCGAGCGAAACGGGAAGAGCCCAAACCAACAAGCUUGCUUGUUGGGGUUGUAGGACACUCUAUACGGAGUUACAAAGGACGACAUUAGACGAAUCAUCUGGAAAGAUGAAUCAAAGAAGGUAAUAAUCCUGUAGUCGAAAAUGUUGUCUCUCUUGAGUGGAUCCUGAGUACGACGGAGCACGUGAAAUUCCGUCGGAAUCUGGGAGGACCA
rnacentral:rRNA from 1 species